rnacentral:lncRNA from 1 species
GGCCUUCUUGGCCAAUCGAUCCACGAUGACCUAUAUAGCAUCGAAACCCUUUGUCGUUAUGCGAAAUUUGGUGAUGAAGUCCAUCGUGACCUGCUCCUAUUUCCACAUGGGAAUCUCUACAGGAUGCAGCUUGCCAUGCGGCCUCUGGUGCUCGGCCUUGACCAUCCUGUAGGUCAAGCACCUCUCCACGUACCAAGCGAUCUCUUGCUUCAUGCACGACCACCAGUAACUCAAGCUCAGAUCUCAUUACAUCUUGGUGGCCCUCGGGUGAAUAAAGAAGUGAGACUUAUGAUCUUCCUCCAGUACAAUGUAUCUGACCCCACCAGACAUCAGAACCCAUACUCGACUGCACAAAACGCAUGUUCUCGCCUCUGAUCGUCUCAAGUUUCCAGUUCUCGGGUCGCAUCCCCUCAGCUUGAGCUUCCCUGAUCAAGCUCACAAGUGGAGAAUCCAUUGAUAUCCUCAUACAUGUCACUGGAGUAGAAGAUCCAGCUGACUUGCGGCUCAGAGCAUCCACAACCACGUUCCCUUUACCCGGAUGAUAAAGAAUCUCGUAGUCAUAAUCCUUGACUAUGUACAACCACCUGCGCACCCUCACGUUGAAGUUCGACUGAUUCAUUAUGUGUUUCAGACUCUUGUGGUCCGUGUAAAUGGUAUAGCGGACCCCGUCGAGAUAAUGUCUCCAAAUCUUGAGAGCGAAUAACACCGCUCCCAACUCCAAAUCGUACAUGGGAUAUCUCGUCUCAUGCGGCUUCAGCUGCCAUGAUGCAUAUUCUAUAACCAGUCCCCUCUGCAUGAGGACCGAUCCAAGUCUUGUGAUGGAUGCAUCACCGAACACUACAACUUCAUCAACUCCCUCUGGGAGAGUCAAGACUGGAGCCUUGCAAAGUAGUUGUCUGAGGGUCUCAAAUGCCCUCUGCUACUCAAGGCUCCACUAGAAAUCCACCCCUUUCCUCAUCAGACGAGGAGGGGUACUGCAGUCUUUGAUAAAUCAUGUAUGAAUCUCAGGUACUACCCAACUUAUCCCAAGAAGAUCCUGAUAUCCGAGGGAUAUUUCAGAACCUCCCACUGCAUAACCGCCUCGAUCUUGGCCGGACAGACCAAAAUCCCCUCUUGGUUGAUGAGAUGUCAAAGGAACUGAACCUCUCAUAACCAAAACUUAUACCGCGAUAACUAGGCAUAGAUCCGCUCUCAUCUCAGAACCCCCAAUAGCUCACGAAGGUGCUCCUCAUGUUGCUCUUUAGUCUUGGAAUACACCAAGAUAUCAUCUAUGAACACGAUGACCAAGUGAUCGUGCAUCGGUCUGCAGAAUCGAUUCAUCAGGUCCAUAUGUCGGCGUGUUGGUGAGCCCAAACGACAUCACCAUAAACUCGUAAUGUCCAUAACGAGUCCAGAACACAGUCUUCUACAUGUCCUCCUCCCUAACCAUAACCUGAUGGUACCCAGACCACAGGUGUAUCUUGGAGAACCAAGAUGUUCCCUGCAAAUGAUCAAAAAGAUCGUCUGUCCUCGGGAGUGGAUAAAUGUUCUUCACCGUUAACUUAUUCAACUUCCGAUAGUCAAUCCACAUUCGGUGUGAACUAUCUUUUUUCCUAACGAAGAGAAUCAGUGCUCCCCACGGAGAACUGCUCAGACGAAUGAACUAAUUGCCCAGGAGUUCCUAAAGCUAUGAUGACAACUCCUGCAUAUAUGGUGGUGCCAAUCGGUAUGAUGCCUUGGUGAUAGGGGCCGCACCUGGCACUAGCUCGACCCUAAAGUCCACCAUCCUCUCCGGAUGCACUCCGGGUAACUCCUCCGGAAACACGUCAGCAAAUUCCCUGACCAUUGGAAGCUCUGAAACCAAGACCUGAUCCCUAACCACUGGAGCCUUGCAAAGUAGUUGUCUGAGGGUCUCAAAUGCCCUCUGCUGCUCAAGGCCCCACUAGAAAUCCACCCCUUUCCUCGUCAGACGAGGAGGGGUACUGCAAUCUUGGAGAAAUCAUGUAUGAAUCUCAGGUACUACCCAACUAAUCCCAAGAAGAUCCUGAUAUCCGAGGGAUAUUAAAGAACCUCCCACUACAUAACCGCCUUGAUCUUGGCCGGACAGACCAAAAUCCCCUCUUGGUUGAUGAGAUAUCAAAGGAACUGAACCUCUCAUAACCAAAACUUAUAUUGCAAGAACUAGGCAUAGAGCCGCUCUCAUCUCAGAACCCCCAAUAGCUCACGAAGGUGCUCCUCAUGUUGCUCUCUAGUCUUGGAAUACACCAAGAUAUCAUCUAUGAGCACGAUGACCAACUGAUCGAGCAUCGGUCUGUAGACUCAAUUCAUCAGGUCCAUAUGUCGGCGUGUUGGUGAGCCCAAAAGACAUCACCAUAAACUCGUAAUGUCCAUAACCAGUCCAGAACACAGUCUUCUACAUGUCCUCUUCCUUAACCAUAACCUGAUGGUACCCAGACCUUAGGUAUAUCUUGGAGAACCAAGAUGUUCCCUACAAAUGAUCAAAAAGAUCAUCUAUCCUCGGGAGUGGAUAACUGUUCUUCACCGUCAAAUUAUUCAACUUCCGAUAGUCAAUCCACAUUCGGUGAGAACUAUCCUUUUUCCUAACGAAGAGAAUCAGUGCUCCCCACGAAGAACUGCUCAGACGAAUGAACUAAUUGCCCAGGAGUUCCUAA